UACGUAGGGAGCAAGCGUUAUCCGGAAUCAUUGGGCGUAAAGCGCGCGUAGGCGGCCCUGUAAGUCCGCUGUGAAAGUCAAAGGCUCAACCUUUGAAAGCCGGUGGAUACUGCAGGGCUAGAGUCCGGAAGAGGCGAGUGGAAUUCCCGGUGUAGUGGUGAAAUGCGUAGAUAUCGGGAGGAACACCAGUGGCGAAAGCGGCUAUCUGGGCUGUAACUGACGCUGAGGCGCGAAGGCUAGGGGAGCAAACAGG
rnacentral:rRNA from 1 species